AUUGAACGCUGGCGGCAUGCUUUACACAUGCAAGUCGAACGGUAACAGGGAGCUUGCUCCGCUGACGAGUGGCGAACGGGUGAGUAAUGCAUCGGAACGUACCCAGUCGUGGGGGGAUAACGUAGCGAAAGUUACGCUAAUACCGCAUACGUCCUGAGGGAGAAAGCGGGGGACCGUAAGGCCUCGCGCGAUUGGAGCGGCCGAUGUCGGAUUAGCUAGUUGGUGGGGUAAAGGCCUACCAAGGCGACGAUCCGUAGCGGGUCUGAGAGGAUGAUCCGCCACACUGGGACUGAGACACGGCCCAGACUCCUACGGGAGGCAGCAGUGGGGAAUUUGGACAAUGGGGGCAACCCUGAUCCAGCCAUGCCGCGUGAGUGAAGAAGGCCUUCGGGUGUAAGACUCUUCUA
rnacentral:rRNA from 1 species